GACGAACGCUGGCGGCGUGCUUAACACAUGCAAGUCGAACGAAGAGCGACGGAAGCUUGCUUCUAUCAAUCUUAGUGGCGAACGGGUGAGUAACGCGUAAUCAACCUGCCCUUCAGAGGGGGACAACAGUUGGAAACGACUGCUAAUACCGCAUACGAUCUAAUCUCGGCAUCGAGGAUAGAUGAAAGGUGGCCUCUACAUGUAAGCUAUCACUGAAGGAGGGGAUUGCGUCUGAUUAGCUAGUUGGAGGGGUAACGGCCCACCAAGGCGAUGAUCAGUAGCCGGUCUGAGAGGAUGAACGGCCACAUUGGGACUGAGACACGGCCCAGACUCCUACGGGAGCAGCAGUGGGGAAUCUUCCGCAAUGGACGAAAGUCUGACGGAGCAACGCCGCGUGAGUGAUGACGGCCUUCGGGUUGUAAAGCUCUGUUAAUCGGGACGAAAGGCCUUCUUGCGAACAGUUAGAAGGAUUGACGGUACCGGAAUAGAAAGCCACGGC
rnacentral:rRNA from 1 species